CAUUAUCACUCUCACGAUCUGCACAAACACACUGAGGAACGAAGACCGUCAGCAGUUCUGCCAUCGAAUCCUCACAGGCAGAAACACGCUUCGCUCCGUCUCGGGCAAGAAUUCUCGGCACCCCUGGCUCCUUUCAAACGUCGCUUUUCCGUUUACGGCUCCCGUACUGCGUGCUGCGCAAGUGAAGCUUCUCUGGGCGGUUCGGUCCGGCCCGCACGGCAGUCACAUUCAAGCGUGGCGUCGCCCUAAUCUGCCACAUUAGCUGGCAGAUCUCGGAUCGGUUUUGUUGACCUUGAGGGAGGGGAUGUUUUUCGGGAGCCGAGAAGCCGCCUCGCUCGGCGAUCGCCUCCCUUCCCGAAAGGUAUGGCUGACGGAAAUAUUACACACCGUAACUGCCAAAUUAGACACUCCUCCUGAACAAAGUGUUAUUUCAUUAAUGCACGCGAGCUUCUGGGCACAACAUUAUGCUUGGAUACUCCUUCGAUUCUUCGCCAUUAGCUGUGAUAUUCAGGCUUUAUCGUUAUUGUGUUACACACACAAAAGUUAUGUUAGUUUCUUCUCAAGCCCACAAAAGAAAGAAGUAAAUAAUAUAUAACUAAGUAUUUGAUGGUAACACUUUACUUGUGGGGGCACAAAUAAUGUAGUAUCAAGCUAUUACUUAUGUCUUAAUUAACCACAAGUCUUAGUUACAUACUGAUCUCAUGUUUGUUCAUCGUGAAUGAAUCUUUUAUCCCAAGCAGUUGUUAUAUUUAUCACUUUCUCUAUCUGUUAAUUCUGUGAACCGUUUUGAACUCCUGAAGGAACAAAUAAUGAAUAACAAGUGAGAUGCUGAUCUCACGUUUGAUCAUCAAUGAAUCGUGACGCAUCUUUUACCUCAAGAAGCUACUAUAUUUGUUCAUGAUUUGUGCUUUAGUAGUAACUGAGUCAGUACUAAGUAUUUGUGCCCCGUCAAAUGAUGCGUUACCCAACAGCACUGCGCGAAAGUCUUAGGCAGUCAAAGAAAAUGGCAUAAGCUAUUUUUAUGGGUAGUAAGUGUAUAUUUGCAAAUUAAGGGUGACGCACUAAAAAUGAACAAUAAUUUCUUCUGUUUUCUAAAAAGUCAUCGAUAUCUAGUCGGGCGGCUAGAUGAACGCCGCUUCAGUACCCAAACCUCUCCUCAAGGGCACCCCAGCCAUUCCAAGUAGUCGUUAAAUUUUACCACCAGCCAAUUUAAUUAAUUAAUUAAAUUACUUUUUAAAAAGUCAAUGAGGUAUUGAUUAGCCCUACAAGGUCACAAAAUACAUGGGUGUGUUGGAUGGUUGCCGCACAUGCUGGGGCGACUUUACAGGAGGUUUGGAAAUGGCUAAGCAGACACACUUUAACAGACAUGACAUAGUUUUGCACCAAUACGAAGACCAUUUAAACGUCAUUUUCUUUACCGCCUAAGACUUUUGCACAGUACUGUAUAUCAUGGUGAUCAAGUGAGAAAUCACCUUGGCAGCAAGGUGAGAGAUUACCCUGGUCUCGUCAAACAGAGGAGAAGCUCAGUGUGGAGACGACAUACUUCCCUCCUCACCAGGAGGGGGCGUUGCCUCUGUCCACACCACUGUCACUGUUCUCCUCUAGAUCCAAUGGGUCAUUUUUGACAGACGCUUUAACCCGGUUAAACGUCAUUAAACAUCAUAUGGAGUGACACGUGUGUGGAGCGGUGGGAGACAAUCUUCAUGGAAACGUGAAAACCGCAUGGCGAGCUGCCUGACGGAAAAGGAAACAGAACCGUGUGAAGCUUUCUGUUAAUGGAGCAUGGUGUGAAAGGGGUGGCCGGCAGGACUGACACGCAGCUUCGCCUGUUGUUUCCCGACCGGCCCGCGGAUGUCUGCUGUUGACUCUGUGUGGCAGGACAGCCUCCAUGUGCUCAGUGAUGAGGAAA